GCCGAAGUGGUGGAACUGGUAGACACGCCGUCUUGAGGGGGCGGUGAGCGUAUGCUCGUGCGAGUUCGAUUCUCGCCUUCGGCACCA
rnacentral:tRNA from 1 species